UCCUUAAUGGUCCAGUGGUAAGGAUUUCUCGUUUUCACCGAGACGGCCGGGGUUCAAUUCCCCGUUAGGGAG
rnacentral:tRNA from 11 species